GCACAUGUACUGAAACUGCUGGGGGGAAGAAAACCACACACAGAUAACUGGGAGACCACUGUACUGCUGAGGAGACUUACUAAUCAGGGUUUCCUAAAGAGAAAAUACAUUCAUCAUGUCACUAUUGAGUCUUGUGGUCUGUGUGGCAAGAAUGUUUUAUUGCGAAGAAACACAUUAACAUCCUGCUUGUACAUCAGACUCAUGAAUUUGGUUAAUAAUAUAUGAAUGGAUCUACACAAGGCUGAGAAGAGGUGCAUGCAUCACAGCAAACGUAUCUAUGAUUCUUCUUGGAGGAAGAAGACAAAUUGGAUACUGAAAUAAAAUACAGCAUAUGAUUUAGGG